UCCCUGGUAGCUCAGAUUGUAAAGAAUCUGCCUGCAAUGCAGGAGACCAGGUUCAAUCCCUAGGUCAGGGAG
rfam:Ovis aries breed Texel chromosome 1, whole genome shotgun sequence.